AUUGAACGCUGGCGGCAUGCCCUACACAUGCAAGUCGAACGGCAGCACGGGAGCAAUCCUGGUGGCGAGUGGCGAACGGGUGAGUAAAGUAUCGGAACGUGCCCAGUCGUGGGGGAUAACGUAGCGAAAGUUACGCUAAUACCGCAUACGAUCUAUGGAUGAAAGCGGGGGAUCGCAAGACCUCGCGCGAUUGGAGCGGCCGAUAUCAGAUUAGGUAGUUGGUGGGGUAAAGGCUCACCAAGCCGACGAUCUGUAGCUGGUCUGAGAGGACGACCAGCCACACCGGGACUGAGACGCGGCCCAGACUCCUACGGGAGGCAGCAGUGGGGAAUUUUGGACAAUGGGCGAAAGCCUGAUCCAGCCAUGCCGCGUGCAGGAUGAAGGCCUUCGGGUUGUAAACUGCUUUUGUACGGAACGAAAAGGUUUGGCCUAAUAAGCUGAGCUCAUGACGGUACCGCAAGAAUAAGCACCGGCUAACUACGUGCCAGCCGCCGCCGUAA
rnacentral:rRNA from 1 species